rnacentral:rRNA from 1 species
CAUGCCAAGUCGACGGUAAGCGAACAGAGAAGGAGCUUGCUCCUUCGACGUUAGCGGCGGACGGGUGAGUAACACGUGGGCAACCUACCUUAUAGUUUGGGAUAACUCCGGGAAACCUUGCAUUGGGGGCUAAUACCGAAUAAUCUGUUUCACCUCAUGGUGAAACACUAAAAGACGGUUUCGGCUGUCGCUAUAGGAUGGGCCCGCGGCGCUUGAUUAGCUAGUUGGUGAGGUAACGGCUCACCAAGGCGACGAUGCGUAGCCGACCUGAGAGGGUGAUCGGCCACACUGGACGCCGCGUGAGUGAAGAAGGAUUUCGGUUCGUAAAACUCUGUUGUAAGGGAAGAACAAGUACAGUAGUAACUGGCUGACCUGAGUACCUUGACGGUACCUUAUUAGAAAGCCACGGCUAACUACGUGCCAGCAGCCGCGGUAAUACGUAGGUGGCAAGCGUUGUCCGGAAUUAUUGGGCGUAAAGCGCGCGCAGGUGGUUUCUUAAGUCUGAUGUGAAAGCCCACGGCUCGAGGGUCAUUGGAAACUGGGAGACUUGAGUGCAGAAGAGGAUAGUGGAAUUCCAAGUGUAGCGGUGAAAUGCGUAGAGAUUUGGAGGAACACCAGUGGCGAAGGCGACUAUCUGGUCUGUAACUGACACGGUAUGAGGCGCGAAAGCGUGGGGAGCAACCACAGGAUUAGAUACCCUGGUAGUCCACGCCGUAAACGAUGAGUGCUAAGUGUUAGGGGGUUUCCGCCCCUUAGUGCUGCAGCUAACGCAUUAAGCACUCCGCCUGGGGAGUACGGUCGCAAACUGAUGAUAACUCAAAGGAAUUGACGGGGGCCCGCACAAGCGGUGGAGCAUGUGGUUUAAUUCGAAGCAACGCGAAGAACCUUACCAGGUCUUGACAUCCCGUUGACCACUGUAGAGAUAUAGUUUCCCCUUCGGGGGCAACGGUGACAGGUGCUGGGAAGUGCAUGGUUGUCGUCAGCUCGUGUCGUGAGAUGUUGGGUUAAGUCCCGCAACGAGCGCAACCCUUGAUCUUAGUUGCCAUCAUUUAGUUGGGCACUCUAAGGUGACUGCCGGUGACAAACCGGAGGAAGGUGGGGAUGACGUCAAAAUCAUGCCCCUUAUGACCUGGGCUACACACGUGCUACAAUGGACGAUACAAACGGUUGCCAACUCGCGAGAGGGAGCUAAUCCGAUAAAGUCGUUCUCAGUUCGGAUUGUAGGCUGCAACUCGCCUACAAAUGCUGAAGCCGGAAUCGCUAGCGCGGAUCAGCAUGCCGCGGUGAAUACGUUCCCGGGCCUUGUACACACCGCCCGUCACACCACGAGAGUUU